GCUUGAUGGAGGAAAAGAUUAGUGUCUUCACCAACAUGACUGACGCCAUUAAGGAGGUGGCAACCUCCACAAGGGAGAGCCAGUCCAUCAACGUCCACCCACCCAGAGCUGUACACCGCCAUCAUAAACCAAGAUGGCUUCAGCGAUGAGGCUCUAAUGGCUGCUCCGAGCCAUCUGCUGACAGGGGCGGAGCUACGUUGUGGCAGAACCCAACCAUGGCCCGCCCAACGAAGCACCAAAUAGUGAAGAUUAAGGGGCCCAUAGCAGCAAAUAUAUUAAGGUCAACUUUAAUCUGGCCUGUUUGGCUCGCCUAAUAAUUUUACCGCAGGUCUGCCACUGUCUGUUGGACAGCAAGGUCCAAGGUGUUGGGUUUGUUGCCAUCGUAGGCACUCACAGGGUGCUCUGUCUGAGGAGCUGGCUGAGCAAGCACUACUACAAAUGAUGUCUCUGGUGCUUGCGUGCAUGAUCCUCGACGGCGAUGGCAAUGGCGACGACGAUGGCAAUGGCGAUGACAACGUACAUUUUGUGUAGCUAGGGUUUGAAAACUAUUUGAUGGUUUGUAUAUUUUGAUGAGGUGAUAUAUAGUAACCCCUCACGCCGAUGAUGAACUUGCGGUGAUAAGAUACACCCUCUUUUGGAUGUGGUGGUAAGAUAACACCAUAGUAGUGCUAGGUUGAACUUGAUAUGCCAUAUGAUCAUGCAUGCUUAAUAUUGCUUUUCUAC
rnacentral:rRNA from 1 species